ACGGAUAUUGCUAAACAUUCUGUUAGACCCAAGACAGCCCCACAACAAAGAAUUAUCUAAGAUGUCAAGAGUGGAGAGAUUGAGAAAACCUGGUCUAGAGUAAAAGCUUUAGGGCCUGUUGUUUGUUCUGAAGUGUGCUACGGUAGAAGGCAUUCAAAGAAACAAACCUAUUAAAUUUCUCCCCACGCCUCAUUUAUUCCAAAACAGUUUUGAUUGCCCACUAUAUUCAUCGCUGCAUUACUGGUGGCUGAGACAGAGUCUCUGUUUCCGAAGCCAAUGUGCUUCCAAAGAGGCCGUGAUGCUGGGUGAUGGGGAGGAGACAGACUGAGGAAUUUGCUAAAGCCUCCUGAUGUUUGAUUGGAUGGAGAAAAGAAUGGAGCUGGAAUCCCAGUCAGGAAACGAAUACAAGAGGUGAGGUUGGAGCUGAUCGGCCCUGAGCCGGGAUAUCAGCAUCUGCAGUGGAAAAGGCAGAAGAGCUGUUGGGGGAAAUAAAGAGCAAGGCUUGAAGAAAUCCAGGCAGCAGCUGGUUUCUAGGAAGAUACUGAGGAUGUCGCCACUACAACAACCAUGUUGGGUCCUUGUUCCUGUCACCCAGAAACAUAUCCAUGAAGUGAUCCUUCAGGAAUAGCCGUGAAACCCCUGCCUUUGGUAACCAGCCAAGCCAGGGUGUGAUAUUUUUUCCUGUUUAAUUAAAAAAAAAAAAGUUUACCCGUUUGCUUUCGCCAGCUAUCUGAAAGUUCAAAAGGUAAAGAAUAUUUCCCUCCACAAAUAAGCCAUGGAAUGUAUUUGGAAAUUGGGUUUUCAUCAGGAGGUGCUGCUUUUCAGCCACUCACUCCACUGCAAAGGAAGGUGAAAUCGUGAACUCUUUCCUGAAAGGAAAAAAAAAAAAAACUCCCGCAACUUUACAUUUAUAAUUUGAUGACUAUGGGAGGGGCCCUAGGAAUUUAGGGUCAUCUUUCUGACUUUAAUAGAGGCUACUGACCCUCAGAUAAGAGGUACUUGUCAUGCUUCUGGGCACAGGAGAUGUAGUUCACAUUUCCUUUUAAAGGAAACAGCAAGGGGCGCCUGGGUGGCUCAGUCAGUUAAGCAUCUGACUUUGGCUCAGGUCAUGAUCUCGCAGUUCAUGAGUUCAAGCCCCACGUUGGGUUCUGUGCUGACAGCUCAGAGCCUGGAGCCUGUUUUGGAUUCUGAGUCUCCCUCUCUCUCUGCCCCUCCCCCACUCACUCUCUGUCUCUCAAAAAAAUAAAUAAAUGUUAAAAAAAAUGAAAAUAAAUAAAAAAGAUAA